UUUCCGUAGGUGAACCUGCGGAAGGAUCAUUCAUAGUAAAGUGUCUUAUGGCACUUUUUAAAAAUCCAUAUCCACCUUGUGUGCAAUGUUAGAUCUCGUCAAUCUUGGCGAGAUUUUUAUACAUCAACUCAUUCUUUAACUAAUUUGUCUGAAAAAUAUUAUGAAUACUUAAUUCAAAAUACAACUUUCAACAACGGAUCUCUUGGCUCUC
rnacentral:misc_RNA from 1 species